CCGGCCCUCUUCUCGCUGCCUGGCCUCUGUUUCCCCUUCGGACGCUGCCACCCUGUGGAAGCCUGCGCAGCCACACCGGGCCUGAGACGGCCGCGGCCGGCGGGAAGCGGAGGGCUUGUUGUCGCGGCAGCCGCGGCAGGUGAGGGGCAGGCGUCGUCGGCCGCGCCAGGACUUGUCAUGGAAUCUUUAUCUCCAAACUCAACAGGCACAACUUCUGCCAGCAUUGUGUGAUGACCAAAAGCAACAAUUCCUGGGAAAGCAUUUGAGGACCUACUUCUUCAUGAUAUAAUUCUAGAGACCUGUAAAUGUUUCCAAGGACAAUGAAAGUGAAUAUGCCUCCUGUUUUGGUGUCAUUUGAAGAUCUGUCUGUGGACUUCACCUGGGAGGAGUGGCAGGACCUGAACACUGCCCAGAAAAUCCUGUACAGGGAUGUGAUGCUGGAGACCUAUAGCAAUCUACUAUCCUUGGGACACUGCAUUAGCAAACCUGACUUGAUUCUCAAGUUGGAACAAAGAGCAGAGCCAUGGAUGGUGGAAGAACACCCAAACCGGAGCCCAGGUUGCAGUUCCCUGAAACAUCCAAGAUGGUUACAUGUGCAUGAGUGUUCUCAUGAAUAUGAUUCAACUCAGAUCAAAUGGUAAAAGCACAAAGGACACAAGCCAGGUUGUGGAGCUUCACAUCACCUUUCGGUGAGUGUUCUGGGCUGUGAGGAGAAAUAAACGCAUUAAGGCAUUAAAGAAACUGAUAAUUGAGAAUUUCUUUAUAUACUUGAACUAAUGCAAACAGUAAAAACUUUAUGUGCUGAUUUUGUCAAAUUAUAUAUUCAUAAGCAUUCUUAUGAAUUCAUUGGGAAAAUAGCAAUUUUUAUAUUUUUAUAAAUAUAUAUUUUAUAAAUAUAUAUUUUCAUAUAUAUAUAAAUAUAUAAAUAUAAUUGCUAUUUUCACAAUAAAAGUUGUUCACUUCCUAAAAUUUAAGAUGUACAUAUUGGUGACCAAUAAAAUAUGGUCAUUACUUGAACAUAUUUGUAUUUUAAAUGUCAUCCCCAGGGAGGCAAAUGAGGAGAAACUGAAUAAAUAAAAAGAGAACAGAGACAUGACUACUGACCAUCAGCAUAUAGUUAAGAGGAAGACAAAUAGGGAUAUUAUUGUAAUUUUGGAAAGGAAAAGAAGGGAAGGACAGAAAUCACUACUAAUUUUUUCAAAGGGCAAAACAUGGAGUUUAAUUCUAUGCUGUGUAAAUUAGCGAUAGAGUUUUAACUGACACUGUAAACUAAAAUUGAGAAAGGGGACAAAGGGUAGAAUGGCAAGAAGGCACAGUGGGUUUGGACACAUGAUUUUUAAAGCUUCCGUGGUCAAAUAUGUGGGGAUAUCCAACCUGGAAAGUGAACAUAUGAGCAGAGAGAGGUUCCAGUUGCAGAUAAAGAUUUGACUGCAGAAUUUCAGUGAUGCCUGAGACCAUCAUAGUCAAUAAAAUGUCUUCAAAUACAAACUAGGAGACAGUAGGAAAGGGGGACCAUUAUUGUGGCACUGUGAGUUAAACCACUUCUUGCAACACCAGCCCUUUCUGGUUCAUGUCUUGGCUGCUCCAUUUCCAAUCCAGCUCCAUGAUAAUAUGCCUGAGAAUGCAGUAGAAGAUUGCUGAAAUUUACCUGAGCCUCUGCAAUCCAUUUAGAAUACUUAUGUAGAGGUGUAGGCUCCUGCCUUUGAACUUAUGAGUUCUAGCAACUGUGGAUAUCUGGAUACUGAACCAGCCAGCAGAUGGAAGAUAUCUCUGUGUCUCCCUUUCUGUCAUUCUGCCUUUCAGAUAAUAUUUUUUUUUAAUAAUACAAAGCAGAAAAGGAAGGAGCACAGAAUCUGGAGAAUAACUGUCAUUCACUGAUAGAGUUAAAGGAGGAAAUAUUAGUGGAAUGGAAGAAAAGAUAAGGAAGUUUUAAAGUUUCCUUCGGGGACAUGGAGAAGCUCAAUAGGAAAUAAUCUUUUAAUAUGAAUUCAGGUUCUUUAAAAAAUUAUGUCAAAUAUUUUCAUUUCAUUUCUCACGUGUAGUGCGAAGUAUCCUAUUAUAUUUCAUUAUAUCCAUACCUGUAUAGGGGAAAAAAAACCUACCAUGAUUAUCCAUACUGGUAUUGAGAACGACUUUUCAAAAAAUGUUUUUGUAAGGCUGGCGCCAUGGCUCACUAGGCUAAUCCUCCAUCUGCGGCGCCAGCACCCCACAUUCUAGUCCCAGUCAGGGUGUCGGUGGCCCAGGAAGGCAGUGGAGGAUGGCCCAAGUGCUUGGGCCCUGCACCCACAUGGGAGACCAGGAGGAAGCUCCUGGCUCCUGGCUUUGGAUUGGCACAGCGCGCUGGCCUUAGUGGCCAUUUGGGGGGUGAACCAAUGGAAGGAAGACCUUUAUCUCUCUCUCACUAUCUAACUCUGCCUGUAAAAAAAAAAAAAAUGUUUUGUAAGACAGAUUUUAGUGCAUCCUGUUUUAACGUGGUCAAUCAUGUAUCUUAGGUAAAUUAAUCCCCAGAGAAAGGACAGUCUCUUUAAAAAUGAAACUGGUAAAAUUGGAUAUCCUCACAAAGAAGCAUUAAGCAAGACCCCUACCAUACACCUUGUACAAAAGUCAACUCAAAAUGGAUUAAAAAUCUAAAGAAAAUAUUGUAUAUGGAUGAAAUGGUUACUUUUCCAUUCAAUUAUAGGUGAUGGUCCUUGUCUAUAGUCCCAUUAAACUAGGCUCUUUUCGUUUUUUACUUGUUUAAACAAAUUAUUCUGUGAGGUAUUAAGGCUAUUUUCUAUAUUGUAAAUUAAUAUAUUACAGCAAAAACUAAAAAAUAAAGAAAAGUGGAAGGAGGAUAGGAGUGAGGGAAAGAUAGAGGGAGGAAGAAAUGGAAUAUUAUCGUGUUCUUAGACUUCUAUGCACAAAUUCUUUUGAAUCUGUUAAAAACAAUGAAAAUUAAAAUGAAAAAUGAAAACCAAUGAAAUCCUGGAAAACACAUUAUUGAUUAAAAAUAUGAGCAAUAACAUCAGAUAGGCUUGUUUUCAAAUUCCAGUUUUGUCACUGAUAAUGUGUGUGUUUCUAUGCAAUAUAUUGUUUCUUUCUAAGCCUGAAUUUCUAGACCAGGAAUCAUGGUUAAUGGCAAAUAUCUCAGUGAACAUUAGUGAAAAUUUUAUCAGGUAACAAUUACCAGUAACAGUGCCUGACACAAAUUCAUGACUCAUUUACUGAAUAUUUUCAUGUGUACUCCACUUGAAGUUAUUUCUCAGUUGAAUAUAACAGAAUGUUUGAUAUUAACAUCAAAAGACAGUAAGAUUAAAAAUUAAUUCUCUAUUACAAAAGUAUUCACAGUCAGGAAAUAAGUUGAAAUAUUAUUCAAAGUUCUUAUUCAGGUCAAAAAUUUAAUAAAAGAUAUUUUGAAUUGCAUAUAUGUGUAUGUGUGUGUAUUGUUGUGGAAGCAAUGAAAAAGAAAUUAUCUUUUUUAUAAUGAAGAAUGGAUCAAAAUCUCAAAUGUGGUCUGUUAGGCUGCUCUUUAAAACUAAGUCAACUACGAAAUAAAGAAAUCAUUUUGAAUAUAUUUCUCCCUCUUUAUCUCAUCGCAGCAUCCAUAAAAUAAAUUAAUUAAUGAACACAUAAUAAAAGGAAUGUCAGGCAUUUAUAGCAACAGGUAAUGAAUCUUCUUGAGAAGACUAUAUCAGAUAUUACAAUUGUUAAUUUUGGCUUUGACUGACUGUGCCUUUGGGGUCUUUUCCAAGAAUUCUUUGCUGGUGCCUAUAUCUUGUAGGCUUUCUCCAAUGUUCUCUAAUAAGUUGAUGGUGUCAGGUUAUAGAUUUAGACCUUUAAUCCAUGUUGAGUGGAUUUUGGUAUAAUGUAUAAGAUAGGGGUCUUGCUUCAUGCUUCUGUAUGUGGAAAUCCAGUUUUCCCAGCAUAAUUUGUUGAAUAUACUGUACUGGCUCUAGGGAAAAAAUUAGUUUUAGCUCCUUGAUCAAAUAUAAAGUGGAGAUGUUUGGAUUAAAUUCUUUUGUUUCUGUUCUUUUCCAUUGGCCUAUCCAUCUAUUUCUGUACCAGUACCAUGCUGUUUUGUUUAUAACUGCCCUGUAGUCUGUCUUGAAAUCUGGUAUUGUGAUACUUCUGGCUCUGUUUUUGUUGUACAAGAUUGCUUUAGCUAUUCAAGGUCUCCUGUUCCUCCAUAUGAAGAUCAGUAUCAUUUUUCUAGAUCUUAGAAGAUGUGUUUGGUAUUUUGAUUGGUAUCACAUUGAAUGUAUAAAUUGCUUUUGGGAGAAUGAACAUUUUGAUGAUAUUGAUUCUUCCAAUCCAUGAGUAUGGAAGAUCUUUCCAAUUUUGGUAUCCUCUUCUAUUUCUUUCUUUAAGAUUUUGUAAUUCUCAUCACAAAGAUCUUUGACAUCCUUGGUUAAGUAUAUUCCAAGGUAUUUGAUUUUUUGUAGCUAUGGUGAAUGGGAUUGAUCUUGGAAGUUCUUUCUCAGACUUGACAUUGCCUGUGUAUACAAAGGCUGUUGAUUUUUGUGCUUUGAUUUUAUAUCCUGCUACAUUGCCAAACUCUUCUAUGUGUUCCAAUAGUCUCUUAGUAGAGUUCUUUGGAUGCCUUAAAUAAAGAAUCAUAUCAUCUGCAAAGAGGGAUAGUUUGAGUUCUUCCUUCCCAAUUUGUAUCCCUUUAAUUUCUUUUUCUUGCCUAAUGGCUCUGGCUAAAAUUUCCAGUACUAUAUUGAAUACCAAUGGUAAGAGUGGGCAUCCCUGUCUGGUACCAGAUCUCAGUGGAAAUGCUUCCAACUUUUCUCCAUUCAAUAUUAUGCUGGCCGUGGGGUUUUCAUUAAUUGCCUUGAUUGAGUUGAGGAAUGUUCCUUCUAUACCCAAUUUGCUUAGAGUUUUCAUCAUGAAAGGGUGUUGUAUUUUAUCAAAUGCUUUCUUGGCAUCUAUUGAGAUAAUCAUAUGGUUUUUCUUCUGCAGUCUGUUAAUGUGGUGUAUCACAUUGAUUGAUUUGUGAACAUUGAAUCAUCCCCACCUACCAGGGAUAAAUCCCACUUGUUCUGGGUGGAUGAUCCUUCUGCUGUGUUGUUGAAUUCUAUUGGCCAGAAUUUUAUUGAGGAUUUUGGCAUUUAUGUUCAUCAAGGAAAUUGAUCUGUAAUUGUUCUUCUCUGUUGCAACUUUUUCAGGUUUAUGAAUCAAGGUGAUGCUAGAAAGAAUUUGGGAGGAUUCCUUCUCUUUCAAUUAUUUCAAAUACUUUGAGAAGAAUUGGAAUUAGUUCUUCUUUAAAUGCCUGGUAGAAUUAAGCAUUGACUCCAUCCUGUCCUGGGCUUUUCUUUGUUCAGAGGGCCUUUAUUAACUGUUUCAAUUUCUGACUUGGUUUUAGGUCUGUUAGGUUUGCUAUAUCUUCAUAAUUCAAUUUAAGCAGCUUGCAUGUGUCCAGGAAUCUGUCCAUUUCUGAUAUAUUUCCUAGAUUGUUGGCAUACAACUCUUUGUAGUAAUUUCUGAUGACUUUUUAUUUCUGUGGUGUCUGUUGUUACAUUCCCAUUUUUAUCUCUAAUUUUAAUGAUUUGGGUCUUCUCUUUCCUUUUUUUGGUUAGUUGGGCCAAUGGUGUGUCAAUUUUGUUUAUUUUUUCAAAAAACCAGCUCUUUGUUUUACUGAUCUUUUGUAAUUUUUUGAGGCUCAAUUUUGUUAAUUUCUUCACUAAUUUUCAUUAUUUCUCUUUUCCUUCUAGUUUUGGGUUUUGUUUGCUGUAGUUUCUCUAGAUCCUUGAGGCAUAGUAACUCAUUUAUUUGAUGCCUUUUCAACUUCUUGAUGUAGGCAUCUAUUGAUAUAUACUUUACUCUUAACACUGCUUUUUCUGUUUCUCAUAAGUUUUGAUAUGUUGUGUUGUUAUCUUCAUUUGCUUCCAGAAAGCUCAUGAUUUAUCUUUUGAUAUCUUCCAUUACCCCCUAUUCAUUCAGGAGCAUGUUGUUUAGUCUCCAUGUGUUUGCAUAUCCUCUAGGGAUUCCUGAGUUGCUAAUUUACAGCUUCAUUCCAUUGUGGUCUGAGAAGAUGUGUGGUAUGAUUUUUAUUCUUUUGAAUUUGUUAAGACUUGCUUUAUGACCUAGUAUGUGGUCAAUCCUAUAGAAGUCUCAUGAACUGCUGAAAAACAUGUGUAUUCUUCAUCUGUGGGAAGAAAAGUUCUGUAGAUAUCUGUUAUAUACAUUUGGUCUAUAGUUUCAAUUAAAUCUGCUGUUUCCUUGUUGAUCUUCCUUCUGAUUGAUCUGUCCAAUCUGAAAGUGGAGUAUUGAAGUCCCCCAAUGCUGUUGUAUUGGAGUCUAAUCUCACUUUAAGUCCCUUAACAUAUGUUUUAAAUAGCCUGCUGCCUUGUAAUUAGGUGUAUAUACAUUUAUAUAGUUACAUCUUCCUGUUGAAUUGAUUAAUUUAUCAUUAUAUAGUGCCCCUCUUUGUCUCUUUUAACAGUUUUUGUGUUAAGGUCUAUUUUGUCUGAUGUUAAGAUAGCUAUGCCAGCUCUGUUUUGGUUUCUGUUGGCAGGGAAUAUCUUUUUCCAACCUUUCACUUUCAGUCUGAAUGCAUCUUUUUGGAAAGAUGUGUUUCUUGUAAGCAGCAAAUAGAUUGGUUUUGUUUUUUUUGUGCGGGCCAGCCGCACCAGUUGAAUGGAACCUAAGGGAGGGAGAAAAACUGGAAAGAGGGACAAGAGAUCGCAGAGAAUGGAGCCAAGACAACAAGGCUGAUCAAGGCUCCUUUAUUCCAAUAUCUUAGUGGUAUUUAUACAUAACCAGCACAAAGAAGCACAAAAGAUAACAACAUACAUAAGCACCUUAUCGGGGCCUUCAGUGGCCCAGAUAAUUUUCACAGAGCGUUCUUGAUUAUCAUCCUCCUUCAGGAUGUCAUCCUCCUUCAGGAUGGGAAUAUGUGACUUUCUUAUCUCAAGAACUCCACAAGCCAAGACUGGCCUUGAUUUGUCCAAAGGCUGCCUACAGUUUUUUAAUCCAUUCAGCCAGUCUGUGUUGUUUAAUUGGAGACUUGAGGCCAUUUACAUUCAUUGUGACUAUUGAUAAGUAGUGAUUUUGUCCUGCCAUUUUUCCAAAGAUAUUUCUAAUAUAUACUUUGAACUGCCUUUUUUAUUUCUUCUAUUGAAUUCUUAAUUUCAUUUUGAUUUCCCUUCAAUAUCUCAAUUUCUGUUCUGUUGAAUCAUUCAUUUCAUUUUGAUUCCUCUAAGAUUUCAUUUUAUUGAGAGAGAUUUUCUUUCAUGUCCUGCAUGCAUUUCAGUAGUUCAUGCAUUUGCUUUUCAUUACUUCUAAGUUCUUAUCAUCAAUUUUUUGAAUUCAAUUUCUUGCAUUCUAUCUCAUCAUCUUCAUGUUUUUUAGGAACAUCAUGUUGUCUUCCUUAUUCUUGUUUCUUGGAUUGUUGUGUUUGUUGUUUGGCAUUUGAGGAGAUACUCAUUGGUUUCUUUUUCUGCUGUGGCAGCUUUUAUCAUUGUGCUAUGACUCUGUAGAUAAGUGGACUGUCUGCCUUCAUUGUAUCUCUAGAGGCUUGUGGUGGAUGUGGCCAAAGAUCUCUGUUCAGUUCUUCAGGAUUAAGGAUAUACCCAGGUAUGACAUGGCAAACUCUCUCACUCUCUCUCUCUCUCUCUCUCUCUCUCUCUCUCUCUCUUUUUAAUCAGAAGGGAAGUCAUUCUGCUCAGCUGAGCUCUUCUCCUUGAUGGUUAUUAGUCACUGAACGCUAGCCCCAGUGGGUAUAAUAUUCAUCUGUUUUGUCCCAAGGACCACACAAAGGAUCUGUGCAGUCCUCAGUGUAAGUUCAGAUUCUCCUUCAAUGUCUCUCACCAGGUAGUCUGGUCCUCCUAAGCUGUGGCAUCUCCUAGUGAGACUUCUCAAAGUCUCAGGCAGAUCAUGAGUUCUCCCACACAUCCUCAGCUUUUUUUUUUUUUUUCCACAGUCCCAGUUCACAAGUUCCACACAGUCACUAGGUCUUAGCCUCCUGUUGUUAUUCCCCACCAGAGUCAGGUUUCUCCACUCAGCUGAUUGUCUGCCACAGACAUGAGCUGGUACAGCUAUUACUUAUGUCUAAUAUGGUGCCUGCUCUUUCGGCUUGUAUGACUUUAAAAGGUGAGUGGAGAGAAAGAAUCAUGUCUGUACCAUCCCCCCCCCCUUUUUUUUCCUCUCCUCUAGUUAGGCUGGUGUAUUUUCCCCAAAGGGCUUCAAGCCUCAUUCCUGAUAGGCUCUUCCUGCCACUUUUCCACCAGUGUCUCAGGAUACUGAGGUCUGGUCUCACCUCACUUUCCAUCUGCUCGAGUCUUGAGCUGUGGGUGCCCCUGCCCCCCCAUGUAGGUCCACCGUGUCCCCUAAUUACAGAAGACUUUCCUCUGCUGUUUUUUCCCUAACUAUUCCCUGAGACUACACACUCUCCCUUUUAUUAAACUGUCUUCUCCUGGACUAGAUCAGUAAGCUCCCUCCUUAUCCCACCAUCUUGGAACCUUGCAUAGAAGAUCCCUUUCUGAUAUAAUUUUAUUUUAUUUUUUUUGAUAGGCAGAGUGGACAGUGAGAGAGAGAGACAGAGAGAAAGGUCUUCCUUUGCCAUUGGUUCACCCUCCAAUGGCCGCCGCGGCUGGCGCGCUGCGGCCGGCACAUCGCGCUGACCCGAAAGCAGGAGCCAGGUGCUUCUUCUGGUCUCCCAUGGGGUGCAGGGCCCAAGCACUUGGGCCAUCCUCCACUGCACUCCCUGGCCACAGCAGAGAGCUGGCCUGGAAGAGGGGCAACCGGGACAGAAUCCGGCACCCCGGCCAGGACUAGAACCCGGUGUGGCAGCGCCACAAGGCGGAGGAUUAGCCUAGUGAGCUGCGGCGCCAGCCCCCUUUCUGAUAUUUUAAUCACCCAAAUACUUUCCCACUUCCUUUGACAACCUCUGUGUCUUCCUUCUAACUACUAUAGGCAUAAGAAUUAGUCUGAUGACUUGGCUAGCAGCUGAAAGUUAUGAUGAAAUUAGAGGUAUGGGAAUAGCAGUUAAUAUAAGGAUCUUCUGUGUCUGCACCGAGUAGCUCACAGAUACACACUUUGAAUGUGCAGGUUCAAGUCCCCACUGGAGAAAUCAACAGUAAAUAAGCUAGUUUUUUUUACCUGUUGGCCUGAGUUUCCUCAUUUGGAAAAUAGGUGUUAUUAAAGUCUUAUCUCCUGGGGCUGGUGACUGUCAAUUAGAUGGUGCAUGUGAAUGGCUGUCCCAGUGCCUUGAAUGAAGUCAGGUCCCAAAUACCAUUAAUAUGACCAAAAGCAAAGAGAAAACUCACGAGAUGCUAACUUCUAUUCAUUCCAUAAUGUCUUUAUGAACAGCUGAACAUUCUCACCACAAAGUAGUAGAGAAUUGAUUUCACUGGUCUCUUUGACCACAUCACAACCUACACCCAUUCCUUUGCUCCACAAACCUAUACACGCAAAGUACCCUGAGACGUAGUUAUUCUCCUGGUUAGGACAAUCUUGUCAUAGACUGCCCUAAUAAAAACUUGAAACCCUAAAAAAUAGCAGCCUGAGCUAUUGUAACAAAUAUUUUAAAGUUCCUUUUAUAUUAAUGCAGUCCUUUAUAGUUUAUUAACCAUUUUGACCUAUAUUCAUUUAAUGGAGAUCAAGGCAGAGAAGGCUGCUGGCUGAGAAGUGAUCAGUUCCAGAGGAAGUGAUACCAGCAGCACUGGCACUGUGGCCAUAGAAGAUAGGGCUGAUAAGGAUCCCAUUCCUCUUCCAUUCCAUUUGCUCCCACCUCUCCUUAGGAUAGAAGCAAUAGGUUUGUUUUAUGAGGCUAAGGGAUCAGAGACAUGGAAAAUGGGGGAAAAGGAUUUAAAAUUAACCCUAUAUUUUGUUUGUUUUUAAGAUUUAUUUAUUUGAAAAUCAGAAUUAUACAGAGAGAGGAGAGGCUGAGAGAGAGAGAGAGAGAGAGGUCUUCCACCCACUGAUUCACUCCCUAAUUGGAUGCAACAGCAAGAGCUGUGCCAAUUUGAAGCCAGGAGCCUCUUCCAGGUCUCCCAUGUGGGUGCAAGGGCCCAAGGGUUUGGGCCUCCUUUACUGCUUUAAGUCCAUAGCAGACAGCUGGAUCAGAAGUGGAGCAGCCAGUAUUGAAUUGCCACCCAUAAGGAAUGCCGACACUGCUGGCGACAGCUUUACCCACUACACCAUAGCACCAGCCCCAUAUCUUUUGAAUCUUAAUAUGUAUGAUAUCUCACUUUUUAUUAUUUAAGGUUAAUGUAUUUUAAAGAUCCAAAUUAUUUUCUACUCUGAAAAAUUCAUUUGUUACCACGAUGAUGAAUACUGCAGAUGUAAGUCCUAACCUUGCUCACAAUUCGUUUCUUGGUGUUUCCAGGCCUUUUGGUUCUUGGCUCUCUUUGGACUUCUUAUUUCUGUGCAGAUGCAGAUUAUCAGAGACAGAGGUUGCAUAGAAGUUAAUGUGACACACCUAUUUGCUACCUUCCAUUCUCCACUAGGGGCAUUUCACCUAGAGGGACCUCAGACCCAUAUGAAUGUCAGACCAUAAGGUGUCCAGAGCCUCCCCCUACAGCUGCAGACAACAUUGCCAUUCCUUCCUCUGCUCUUUCUGCAACAAGGGUCUGAGCAAGUCUUGCAGGGCCAAUGCAGGCUAGACUUCUGUAGGUGUCAAUGGAUGUCCAGUAUUGAAUGAUCAGCAGUGUUGGGCCUCUCAGGGAUUUAUAAAGACCAAAGCAAAUUAUCAGGAAUACUUUCCAAGUAGAUUCCCAUGAGAGUUUAUAUGGUAGUUACCAUGAUUAGAAGAAAGAUUGAAAGAAAAUGGGACUGCUGAUAAAGGACAUGAUAUACUACAAGAGCCUCUUCUCACUGCUAAAAACUUACAGGAGAUUGAAGCACUACCCCUCCAGGAAAAGCAUUAAUAUUGAUAUGUGUUUAUAUAUAGCUGGGGAUGAAAUAAUUUAAUAGACCAAUUAUUUUACACAACUGCUGGGAAUUUAAAAUGGUAAUGUUGCUAUGAAAAAUAAUAUAGCUGUUCAUCAAAAAACUGAAAAUAAUAAUACCAUAUUUCUUCAAUAUAUUGGAUACAUGGAUAUUUCUAAAUGUUCUUGAACAAUAGAAUUAAAAUAUAAGUUCAUUUUCAUGAGAAAAUCUUGAAAUCCAUGAAAAUAAGAAAUCAAAAGGUGCAUGAAAUUGUGUCAUAAGAAACUGCAUGGAUUUGAAAAUUUUUGCACCAAAAUAAACAUAUUUUUAAACUCAGCUUCUCAGCAAGUAUCUUAAAGUAUCAUCAUAUACUAAAAUAGAUGGAAGGGGCUGGCACUGUGGACUAGUGGGUAAGGCUGCCGCCUGCAGUACCAGCAUCCCAUACAGGCACCAGUUCAUGACCCAGCUGCUCUGCUUCCAAUCCAGCUCUCUGCUGUGGCCUGGGAAAGAAGUAUAAGAUGGCCCUAGUUCUUGGGCUCCUGCACCCAUGUGGGAGACCUGGAAAAAGUUCCAGGACCCUGGCUGCAGAUUGGCACUGCUCCAGCUAUUACAGCCAUUUGGGGAGUGAUCCAGCAUAUGGAAGACCUCUCUCUCUCUUUCUCUCUCUCUGUCUCUCUUUGUCUCUUUCUCUCUCUCUACUCCCCCUCCCCUUCAUUACCUUUCAAAUAAAAUAAAUUAUUUUAAAGUCAUGAGAAAAUGAACUAAAAGAUUAGCUUAUUUUGUUGCCAAAAUUUAAAAUCCAGGGAAACAAAGGGUUCAGAAAAAAGGUUUUGUGAAACAUUAUGAAUUGUUAUGUAUAGAUUUAAAGGUUUUUCAGCAUAAUAGACUUAUACUCUAUUUCUAUUUUUUCAUGAAACUUCAGAGUACCCUUUUGUAUACAACACAAAAUGAUAAAUCUAAAAUUUAAGGAAAGUAAGCCUCAUAUUCAAUCUGUCCCACAACGUUUGGGAGCUGCUUUCCUAUCAUCCUUGUGAUUUCUCUGACAGCAGAGUCUCCUUGUGGUUAUGAGUAAAUCAAAUUUAAAAUUUGGAUCCAGGACUUCAUGAAAAAUCAUGGAAAAAUCAUGUGGUUCACUAUGCUAAUCCUCCACCUGCGGCGCCGGUACUCAGGGUUCUAGUCUUGGCUGGGGCACCAGAUUCUGUCCCGGUUGCUCCUCUUCCAAUCCAGCUCUCAGCUGUGGCCCAGGAGUGCAGUGGAGGAUGGCCCAGGUCCUUGGGCCCUGCACCUGCAUGGGAGACCAGGAGGAAGCACCUGGCUCCUGGCUUCAGACCGGUGCAACACACCAGCUGUAGUGGCCAUUUGGGGGGUGAACCAAUGGAAGGAAGACUUUUCUCUCUGUCUCUCUCUCUCACUGUCUAACUCUGCCUGUCAAUUAAAAAAAAAAAUAAAGAAAAGAAAAAUCAUGGAAGGACUCACUGCAGUCUUACAUCUCCAAGCACUUGGUAAAUGAUUGCAAUAGUAUGGACUCUUCUGAGUUGCCAGAUUGCUUUGAAAAUAUGUGAAGAAAGCCUUUGUGUUUGUUAAAUUUCCAGGAGUGGCAGCAGAAAGCAUCAUACCCUGGAUGGCUUUGCACAACACACAUGCGCUGUAUUCCAGUUCUGGAGUCUGCAGGCCUGAUAUAAGGCUCAGCAGGGCUAGCUAUUUCUCAGAGCUGUAGGGGAAAAUAUGCUCCAGGUCUCUCUCCUAGUGCCACAUGGGUUACUGGCAGUCCAUGUUGUCCUUGGCUGUAGACACAUUACGGUGAUCUCUGACUUCACUUUCACAUGGCACUCUGCAUGUGCCCAUGUAUGCCUGUGACUCCAUUUCAUAAGGAUAUCAUCCAUAUCAGAUUGUGUCCCACCAUGCUCUAAUAUAAUCUCCCCCUAACUAAUAACAUAAUGACACUCCUACCAAAUAAAGUCAGUCUGUGUCAUAAUUUCAACACAGAAUUUGAGUGUUAGGGGGCACAACUCAUCCUUGGUGGUGACUGUCCCUUUUCUGAUCUAUCUUUCUUGUUUCAGAAAAGUUUGAAAAAUGGAGAUUGAGGAAGAGGAGCAUCUCCUUACACAGUUGUAGUAGUAUCCCAUAGUGUACACAUCCUGUAAUUUCUUCAUCCAGUCUUUGGUUUAUGAGCAUUUAGGUUGAUUCUAUGUCUUAUGUAUUGUGAAUUGAGCUGCAAUGAAAAUGGAGGUGCAGAUAGCUCUUUUGUUUACUGAUUUCAUUUCCCAUGGGUAAACUCUGAGGAGUGGGAUGACUGGAUCAUAUGGUAGGUCUAUAUUUAGAUUUUUGAGGUAUCUCAAUACUGUACCCCAUAGUGCCUUUACCAGUUUACAUUCCCACCUAAAAUGGAUUAGAGUACCUUUUACCCCAUAUCCUCACCAGCCUAUGUUGUUUGCUGAUUUCUGUGGUUGAGGUGAAACCUUUAUGUAGAUUUCAUUUGCAUUUCCCUGAAAGCUAUUGAUCCUGUUAAUUUUUCAUAUGUCUUUUGGCCAUUGGGAUUCUCUCUUUUGAAAAAUGUCUGUUUAAAUCCUUUGUGCAUCUCUUAACUGGUUUGUUUUGUUGUGGUGGAGUUUCUUGAUCUUUUUGUUGAUUCUAGUAUUAAUCCUUUAUCAGUUGCAUAGUUUGUAAAUAAUUUAUCGCAUUCUAUUGUUUGCAUCUUCACUUUCCUGUUUCUUUUGUAGUACAGAAACUUCUCAAUUUGAUGUAAUCCCAGCUGUUAAUUUUGGCUUUGGCUGCCUGUGCCUCUCAGGUCUUUUCUAAGAAGUCUUUGCAUGUGCCAAUGUCUUGCAUGGUUGCCUAAAAGUUCUCAAUUAAUUUGAUCGUGUCAGUUCAUAAAUUUAGAUCUUUAAUCCAUGUUGAGUGGAUUUUUGUUUAAGGUGUAAGGUAGUGGUCAUGCUUCAUAUUUCUGCAUGUGGAAAUACAGUUCUCCCAACGGCUUUUGUUGAAGAGAGUGUCCUUGCUUCAAGGAUUGGUUUUAGCUCCUUGGUGAAAUAUAAGUUGGGUGUAGAUGCUUGGAAUGAUUUCUGAAGUUUCUCUUCUGUCCUAUUGGUCUGUCCAUCUAUUUUUUUCCAGUACCAGGCUGUUUUGAAUAUAACUGCCUUGUCGUAUGUCUUGAAAUCUUGUAUUGUGAUGCCUCUGGCUUUGUUUUUGUUGUAUAAGGUUGCUUUAGCUGUUUGACAUCUUUUGUGCCUCUGUAUAAAUUUCAGCAUCAUUUUUUCUAGAUCUGAGAAGAAUGUCUUUGAUAUUUUGAAUGGUAUCACAUUGAGUUUGUAAAUUGCAUUCAGAAGAAUGGAUAUUUUGAUGAUAUUUAUUUUUCCAAUGCAUGAACAGGGAAGAUUUUUCAAUUUUUUAUCUUCUAUUUCUUUGUUUAAUGUUUUAACAUUCUCAUUGUGAAGAUCUUUGACAUCCUUGGUUAAAUUUAUUCCAAGGUAUUUUAUUUUUUCUGUAGCUAUUGUGAGUUGGAUUGAGAUAAUCAUAUGGUCUUUUUUCUUCAAUUUGUUAAUGUGCUGUAUCACAUUGACUGAUUUGUGAAUGUUGAACCAUCUCUGCAUGCUAAGGAUAAAUCCCACUUGACCCUGGUGAAUUAUCUGUCUGAGCUGUUGUUUGAUUCCAUUGGCCAGAAUAUUGUUGAAGAUUUUUGAAUCCAUGUUCAUCAGGGAAAGUGGUCUAUAGUUCUCUUUCUCUGUUAUAUCUUUUUUCUGAGUUUAGGAAUUAAGGGGAUGCUGGAUUCAUAAAAAAAGUUUGGGAGGAUUCCAUUCCUUUAAAUUGUUUUCAAUAAUUUAAGAAGAAUUGGAGUUAAUUGUUCUAUAAAUGUCUGGUGGAAUUCAGAAAUUCAGCAGUGAAGCCAGGUGGUCCUGGGCUUUUCUUUGUUGGGAUGGUCUUUACUACUGAUUCAGUUUCUGUCUUGGUUAUGGGUCUGUUUAGGUUUUCUAUGUCUUCAUUGCUCAGUUUAGGUAGGUUGUAUGUGUCUAGAAAUCUAUCAAUUUCUUCUAUGUUUCCCUCUUUGUUCGCAUACAGCUCUUUGUAAAUGCCUUCUGAUGAUUAUUUUUAUUCUGUGCUGUCUUUUGUUACAUUUCCUUUUUCAUCUCUAAUUUUAUUGAUUUGGGCUUUCUCUCCUAUUUCUUGGUUAGUUGGGCCAAAUGUGUGUUGAUUUUGUUUAUUUUAUCAAAAAAUAACUCUUCAUUUUGUUGAUCUUUUGUAUUGUUUUCCUUUGGUUUCAAUUUGUUUAUUUCUUCUCUAAUUUUAAUUAUAUAUUUUCUUCUAAUAGUUGUGGAUUUUUCCUUUUUACUGUAGUUUUUGUAGAUCCUUGAGGAACAGAGAGUUCAUUUACUUGGUUCCUUUACAAUUUCUUGAUGAGGUAACAAUUGCUAUAAACAUUGCCCUUGGCACUGAUUUUGCUGUAUCCCACAAAUUUUGGUAUGUUGUAUUGCCAUCUUCAUUUGUUUCCAGAAAUUUUUUUUGAUUUCUCCUAUGACCCACUGUUCAUGCAGAAACAUGUUGUUCUUUCUCCAUGUGUUUGCAUAUGUCAUAGAGAUUCCCGAGUUGUUGAUUUUCAGUUUUAUUGCAUUGUGGGCUGAGAAGAUGCAUGGUUUGAUUUCAAUUGUUUUGAAUUUGCUGAGACUCACUUUAUGGCCUAGCACAUGGUCAUUCCUAGAGAAAGUUCCAUGCACUGGAGAAAUAAAAGGCUCUGUGGUUAUCUGCUAGGUCUAUUUGAUAUAUGGUGUUGAUUAACUCUGUUUUUUCCUUGGUGAUUUUCUGUCUGGUUGAUCUAUCCAUUGCUGACAGUGGGGUAUUGAAGACUCCGCUACUAUUGUAUUUGAGUCUCUAUCUUCCUUUAAAUCCCUUAACAAUUAUUUUAAAUAUUCAUGUGUCUUGUAUUUAGGUGUAUAUGCAUUUAUAAUAGUUGCAUCUUUCUAUUGAAUUUAUCCUUUAGUCAUUAUAUAGUGUCCUUCUUUGUGUCUUUUAACAGUUUUUGUCUUAAGGUCUAUUUUGUCUGAUACUUGGAUGGUCAUACCAGCUCUUUUUUAGUUUCUGUUAGCAUGGAUUAUCUUUUUCCAUCCUUUCACUUUCAGUCUGCAUGUGUCUUUGUUGGUAAGGUGUGUUUCUUGUAGGCAGCAAGUAGAUGGGUUUUCUUUUUUAAUCCAUUUAGCCAGUCUAUGUCUUUUAACUGGGGAGUUGAGAUCAUUUACAUUCAGUGUGACUAUCAUUAAAUAUCAUCUUUGCAUUACCAUGUUUCCUGAAUUAGUCCUGUUUGUGUAUUUUGGAUUUCAUUUGUACUUUUGCUGGAUAAUUUUCUGCAUCUUCUUUUGUAAUGAUGUCCCUUUUCCUGUAUUUGUGUAGCAUAUCAUUGAGCAUCUUUUGUAGGGCUGGGUGAUUAGUUACAAAUUAUUUCAAUUUCUGCUUAUUGUGGAAUCCUUACUUCUUGUUCAUUCAUAAAUGAGAGCUUUGCAAGGUAAAGUAUUCUGGGUUGACAGUUUUUUUUUCUCUUAGGACUUGGAACGUGUCUCGCCAUUGUAUCCUUGCCUGUAGGGUUUGUGAUGAGAACUCUAGGUGUAAUCAAGGAAGCUACAUAGAAGUACAGCUGCAGGUGCUCAUGCAGCAAAUGGAACCCAGAUGUUGGAUCAAUUGCCUGGGUAGGAGCAACAGUCCUGGCUGUCCUACAAUGCACAGUGAGAGGUUUCCUAGCCUGCUUAAACGAACCACACAAGAUGAAUUGAAAUUCAAUCUUCUAUUAUAACUGGAAAAACAGCAAGAAAAUGCAGAAACACAGUACUACUCCUUAUGAUAACAGCAAAUAUUCUUUGACCUCCUUCUUGAUGUCAGUAUUCUGGGUGCCCUGAAGAAGGGCGAGUUUCUCUUCAGCUCCUCCAUCAGGUGUGAAAAUGACAAAUAGGAUUAAAUCACUGGUUACCACAAAGCUGCCAAGGCUGGUGAAGAAGACCAAGAGCCAUCGCUCCUGUUGCUUAUCAAAAGUGGUGUAGAUGGUGGAGGCAAGAACAGGUGCCUCCAACAGCUAAGUGUGGGCCACACUGAAGCCAGAACCUCAAACUCAAUCCAGGUCUCCCACAUGGAUGGCAGGAACUCAAGUACUUAAAUCAUUAUCUACUUCAUUCCCAGUUACAUAUCAAGAAGCUGGGUUGGAAUCAGAAUUUCUAGGACUCAAAAUGGCACUCUGACAUGGGAUGUAGUUGUCUAGUGGUGGAUUAGUCUGCUACAUCAUAAUGCCUGCCCCAACUUGUCCUUCUUUAACUGCUUCAAACAUUUGGAAUUCUCUCUUGCUAUUGCUUUUAGUUGUUGAAUAUUCAUGAGUUACAUGUAUUUAAUUCAUGAAUGUGUAUGUAUUUAACAUUAAUGGUACACAUUUUUUCAUGAAUGAUUAACUACAUUUUAUAGACAUGAUAUCUGCAUUAGGAUUAGGAGAAGAGGGAGAUAAUCACCUGGGAAUUCUGAGAACUGUCCAUUGCUACUUACUUUUUUAUUUUUAUUUUUUAAAGAUUUAUUUAUUUAUUUGAAAACCAGAGUUACACAGAGAGAGGAGGAGAGGCAGAGAGAGAGAUAGAGAUAGAGAGAGAGGUCUUCCAUCCAAUGGUUCACUCCCCAGAUGGCUGCAAUGGCCGGAGCUACACUGAUCCAAAGCCAGGAGCUUCUUCCAGGUCUCCCACAUGGGUGCAGGGGCUCAGGGACUUGGGCCAUCUUCUACUGUUUUCCCAGGCCAUAGCAGAGAGCUGGAUCAAAAGUGGAGCAGCCAGGUCUUGAACCAGCACCCAUAUGGGAUGCUGGCGCUUCAGGCCAGGGCAUUAAUCCACUGCGCCACAGCACCAACCCUGCUAAUUACAUUUUUAAACAUAUUUUUAUUGAUGUUGAAACAUAAAAUAUACUUCUUUUCUUUUCUUUCCUUUUUUAAAAUAUUAUUUUAGAUUGGUGAGAUAGAGGCAGAGAGAUGUCCCAUCUAACAGUUCUUACCAAAAAUGACUUCAUUGGCCAAUGCUGUCCCAGGAUACAGUCAGGAGCCAGGAGACCAGUCUUGGUCUGCCAUAUGUGCAGCAAGGAAUCAACUACUUCAGCAAUCACCUGCUCACUCCCAAAGAGCACAAUAACAAGAAUUUGCCAUCCGGAGCCCCUUGCAGGAAUCAAAUCCAGGUUUUCUGACUUGGGAUGAAGCCAUACUACUGGGAUUCUUAGCUAUUGGCCAGAUGCCAACAAAUAUGAUACUCAGACUUGACUUAUUCAACUCCAUAUAUGGCCAUAGGACUUUUUAAAAAUUUACAAUUAUCUAUAAUUAGUAAUAUAAUUAUAUGCUAACUGUAUUACUUAUGCAUAGUAAAGUUCUACGAAUAUGAAUGAUUCAUUUUAUUUAAGUCAGUAUAGUAUAGCAUAAAAUAUUUCCUAAAGCUUAUAGUGAAAUGAUCAUUUGGGGUUCUAAAACUAAGUGCAUCUAAAACCCAAAGAUUAGGGCUGGCACUGUGACCACCAAUGCCAACAGCCCAUGUAGGCACUGUUUCAUGUCCCAGCUACUCCACUUCCAAUCCAACUCCCUACCAAUGGCCUGGGAAAGCAACAGAAAAUGGUCUAGGUGUUUGGGCCCCAUGUUUGAAACUGGAAGAAGCUCCUGACUCCUGGCUUAGCCCUGGCUAUUGUGACCAUCUGGAGAGUAAACCAGCUGGUGAAAGAUCUUUCUAUAUCACUCCCUCCAUCACUGUAUCUCUGACUUUCAAAGAAAUAAAAUCUAAUUUAAAAAAAAGACCCAAAGAUUACUCCAAUUCAUCAUAUGGCCAAAUAUUAUUCUAUAUUAUAUAUGUAUGUAUAUAUGGAUGUAAAUGUCGUGAUGAGGAUUAAAGAAAAAUAGGUUGAAUUAUAUUUUUUACAGCUUGGAACUGAGACAUAAUAGUAUGAUUCUAUUUGGGUUAUCGAAUUAAGGUUCAGUUAUGUGGAAGCCAGAGUAAGAGCAAGCUAUCACUUUAUUAGUUUUUCCUAAAUAGUUGCUUAUUACAGAAUAAUAUAAUAAAAUAUUUCUAUUACUUAUUUUUCUAUUUUACAUUUUGUAUAGCUCACAAAAUAGUGACUGUAUAAAAAUUCAUACCAAGUUACCAAAAGCAUACAAUUUCCAAAAAUGUUCUGAGUUUUUGUUACAUUCAGUUUCCAAAGGAUGCCCUCAACUCAAUAGUUAAAAUUCAGAAAUUCUGUGGAAUUUCAUUACCUUUGGUAAAAAGUAUCCUCAUUAUUUUGUCUCCUCACAGUAUUAACCCUGGUAUCUACUUUAUGUACAAUCUGCUAGUACUAGAAUGUCAGAGAAGAUUGAGGCUGGAACGACAAUUGGCAGAUAUUGCCAAGAAGCAGUGUCAGCCUUGGGCCACACUGCCACUUUAGUGUCAUCUGUCUACACAGAUGGGCAAGGUGAGAGCUCUGGGGCCUCCAUCUUGGUGUCUACAGAUGCUCUCUCAGAUGGGCAAAGUGUUUCCAUUUUGGGGUAAAAUGGAAACAAAGGCCAUCUCUAAGGAACCCAAGUGGCUGUGCUGUGGUGUGGUUGUACCAGUGACACUUACCAAUGAAAGAGCCAGUGUUGGGGCUGGUGCUGUGGUGUAGUGGGUAAGACUGCUGCCUGCAGUGCUGGCAUUCCAUAUGGGCACCAGUUCAAGUCCUGGAUGCUCAUUUCUGAUCCAGCUAUCUGCUAUGGCCUGGGAAACCAGUAGAAGAUGGCCCAAGUCCUUGAAUCCCUGCACCCAUGUGGGAGAUCCCUGGAAGAAGCUCCUGGCUCCUGGCUUUGGAACGGUGCAGCUCCAGCCAUUGCAGCCAACUGGGGGGUGAACUAGCAGAUGGAAGACCUUUAUACCUCUCUGCCUUUCCUUCUCUCUGUGUGUAACUCUGACUUUCAAAUACAUAAAUAAAUCUUUUAAAAAAUAAAAGAGCCAGUGUAUCCCCACUGUCUGGUUUCUGAUUGCUGCUGAUGUGGUGCCCCUCCUGAAAACUUGAAAGGGAGGUUUGGGGCCAACACCUAAAAGGUAGGGGUACACUAACACUCAUGAAACUAGACAGGGAUUAAUUCCCUGUAAUGUUUGUUAUGUAGACAACACAUGAAAUUAAGCAAGAUUUGAACACUUAGUGCAUUCAUGACUAUCUUCAUACAUUCUUCAAAACUUACUGGGGCUGGCACCGUGGUGCAGUAGGUUAAUCCUCUGCCUGCAGCAACUGGCAUCCCAUGUGGGCACUGGUUCUAGUCCUGGUUGCUCCUCUUCCAAUCCAGCUCUCUGAUGUGGCCCAAGUGCUUGGGCCCCUGCACCUGCCUGAGAGAUCAGGAAGAAGCACCUGGCACCUGGCUUCAGAUCAGCAUAGCUCCAGCACAGCUCCAUCCAUUGCAGCCAUUUUGGGAGUGAACAAAUGGAAGGAAGACCUUUCUCUUUGUCUCUCCCUCUCACUGUAACUCUAACUCUCAAAACUUACUAAAAGAAAAGGAUUAAUAUUACCAUAAACUAUGACUUAGUGUUUUACUCAAUGUCAGAAUGUGUGCUACUUCUUUAAUCCUCAAGAUAACAAGGCAAAGACAAAAGGAAAAAAAUAGUGAAAACCAAAGAACUAGAUGAAUCUUUCUUGUACUCUGUAGGUGUUUACAUCUGCAAAUGCAGGGAGCCAUGCUCCAGGAUGCAAGGUACCAGUGUGUGGACAUCAGACACUCUAGAACAGUGCUCAACCCUAAAAGCAACCAUUGCUCAGCCUAACAUCUCCUAAGUCAGGAAGUAGAUGGGUUCAAUGUGACUGACUUGCCCCUGUGCUGCUGCAAUCCUGCUCCUGGGGCUUGCUGAGGAGAGUGGGAGUGGCUGUUCCUGGGGUUUGCCUUCUGGAUCUCAUGCCAUACAGAGAAACGGCAGUCAUGUUGUGUCCUUGUUGGGCUCCUCCUUGCCUGAACACUCUGAGCCCAAGCUCCUGCUGGGCUGUGCUCCCUUGCUGCAGUGGGGCGAGCUGUUCUCCAGUUUUCUCCUGCCAGCUGCCUCCUCCCACACAGCUGCCCACUACUGCUGGCUGCUCCUGUCAGCUGGAAUACUGCAGGGCAGUCCAGGGCAGCAUCUUCAGCCUCCAUCUCCACCUUCAUACUGUUAUUGCUUAGAACUUUCACAUCUUCACUGAGCUUGGUUGAGUCCAUCUUCUACUCCAUUGGGACGCCAAGUUCUGGGCUUUGUAGGGAGGGUGUGGGUCAGCAGUGUAGCCUGCAUGCAGGAUCUGGCUGGGGCCCCUGAGUAUUUUCCCCUUUGGGGGUCCAUGAACUGCACUAGUGCACAACGUGGUGGGACUCCAAGUGUCACUUCCCGACAAGGAAACAGGAGCUCUUCACUGCAGUACAACCACAUGUCUGCUGCCCUUGGCCUAGAGGGGCAUACGUGGGACUGUCGUGGGGGUGCACUGCAGGGGCCAGGGCAGACACCACCCCACAGGCCUGGUGUGGGCCUGCACCCAUGAAAAGGUGGGGGCUGCAGCUGUGUAUGCAGGGCCUGUGGGGUGGUGCCUUGUGCUCCCUGGAAGUCAUUUCUGGAAAAUAUGUCUUCUCAGACUUGGGAGUGUGGCCCCAAGUGAUGUAGACAGGCACAUGGGUUAAAAUUGAUUAGAUUUGUGAGCUGGAAGGCCAUGCCUCACCACCCCACUGUGUGACCUCAUGCCCUACCUGGCCACACCUGUGCACACAAUGGCCAAUCAGGUUAAUUAACCAUUCCCCUUUGAAAAUAGAUUAAAAGCCUGGGACACGGUGUGUCCACCCCUUCCUUUCCUUGGCAUCUUGCCAGUACAGGGCCUUUGUGGCCUUGAGCUUCCCGGGUGCAUUGUCUUUGGGCCACCCACCCCAUGCUUCCUGGCCUAGGUGCUCUUCCAUGUGGCUGGUUGCUGGUACUAGGUAUGAGCCCAGAUUUACCUCUCCUUUAGACAGGGCCCUCACUCUCCUAUGCAUCUUUCACACUGAAUCACUGAAUAAAAGCUUAAAAUGUACUACGCUGCCUCAUUCAUUUAUGCAAGUAUUCAGAAUUCUUCUCUAAAUAUUAGGCAAGAACUCACAGGGGCUUAUUAAUAUUGAGAAUUUAUUAAUAAGCAUACAGUGAUAUCGUAUGGCACUCCAAAUUCUGGUUACACAAGGACCUCCUUUUCUUCCUCUGGUCCUCCCCCACUUCUCCCUGCCUCUGCUUUCCUCCUCCCUUUCCCCUCUCCUCCCUCCCUCCCUUCUACACCUCUGUGGGCAGCCACAGGUAAUCACUCCCUUUGUUUACACUUAAACAUAUGGAGACUUCCCGGCACAGACAAUUGGGCUAAGGAGAUUCCGGCCCUCUGGAGGUAUCAAAAGUCCAGAAAAUUUAAAACUUUGAUUUUCAGAAAGUCUGUUAAAGGUGCCAAGAGAAUUUAGAGUAUCUGGUCAAAAUAGAAUUCCUUAACAUUUAGUCAGGGCAAUUUUAACACUUUUAGACCACAUCUGAUCAUAAUGUUAUUUAACAUAACUUUCUUAACAGACAAUAGAGUACACAGAUUACUUUGGCAGAAUAUGGAUUCUAUGUUUCUUGUUGUUGAAUAAACCAGAAAUAAAAACCUUGGAUGUAGGAAUUAGCACACGAAAUUAUCACAUAACUCAGAACUAUUUAACAGAGUUAAAAAGAGCUUACACGACCUAACUUUAGAAA